ensembl:lncRNA
CAGCUUUCAGAAAGGAGACUGUUGUCAUCUUUUCAUUGAAGAGUAUAUUUUUAUAGUAAUAUAUGUUUGAAACUGGAAAUUUUUCUCAUUUGACAUGAAUUAGGCUUAUUUAAGUUGGAGUUAGUAACAUGUAAUAAAAUUUUUUUAAUCGUUUAUGUAGAAAUGGUCUGAAGAUAUGAAAAGUUUAAGUAGUAUCUCUGUGCAAGGCACAUUCAUGAAUGUGAUUAAAUGUCUUAAUAGGCUGCUGAACUCUAGAGAGAAUUGCUAUAGUCUUCUGCAGUCAGAUUCUGUGUUGGUCUAGUAUUUUCUAGUCUCUCUCUCUGUGCGUGCGUGCUCAGUUGUGUCUGACUCUUUGCAACCCCAUGGGAGUGUAGCCCUCCAGGCUUCUCUGUUCAUGGGAUUUCCCAGGCAAGAAUACUGGAGUGGGUUGCCAUUUCCUACUCCAGGGGAUCUUCCUGACCCAGGGAUCAAACCCACGUUUCUUUGUCUCCUGUAUUGGCACGCACCAUCUGGGAAUCUGUUUUCUGGUAUAAGUUCUGUUUAUUUCUCCCUAAGUCUUGGUUACUUUUCAGUGUCUUAAAAGUAGUGAUAGCAAAAUGAGGAAGAAAUUUAUAUGAAUAAUCUAGUAGUUUGAGUCUAUUAAUUUGUGACUUUCAGAGCAUUUUUGACAGAGUUUACCUAAUUCAAACAGAUUUAAACAAUUUAAAAACAAGCAUUCCAUCCUGAGAUGUGACAAGCAGAAUAUGCAGCACGGGCAUAGUUAGGCAGUGCCUCCUGAUGAGAUUGUUGAUGCAUGACGAACACUGGCUUCUGACUGAGGUGACCACUGUGGGUAUUGUGUACUGGUAUUUGUUGUUCCUAGGAGAAUAAUGGUGUAUAUAUGGAAUAUGUACCAGAUUAACUUGUUUUUGAAUUGGACAAAAUAAAAGACGAGGUAUUAUAAAUACACCAAAUAUUUAUACACCCUGCUACAAAGAAACUAAAAAGAAGAAAAUGCUAAAAGAGCAGUGAUCUUAUUUUUUCUUCAUAGCUUCUAAAAAAUUUUUUUUUCACGAAGUCUCUUUGGACUCAAGUCUCUUGGACACUAGGCAGUUGCUUACUUUAACACUGAGGGACUUUAAAGUAUAGUUCUCAGAUAUUAUAUUCUGCUAUUAGAAUUCACCAUGUCUGUUAAUUUUACAUGCUUAAAGAUUUUCCAGAAAAUGGAGUGUUGCAGUCAGUGUUAAGAUUAAAUGAACAGUGUAGGUUAUAAUUAAAUGGGACAAGUUACAUGUAUGAUCUGUGGUGCACGGUCAGAUCCUGGAUAUUAAAGAUAAGUUUGACUAACUUAUUUUACUGAAGAUACCAAUUGUCUUCACUCUGAUUGCACUGCUGUUUUUCUUAAACUAUUUUCCCCCAGUAUUACAGUCGGCAUUGAAUUUCAUUUGGCAUUUACCAUAUUCUACUUGAUGUUUUUUAAGGAUUAAAUAUUUUGUGAAUUCUUUUUACACUUAAAACGUGUACCUUGCAGAGGGAUAAAAAUAAAUUUUGAAAUAAU